rnacentral:rRNA from 1 species
GAUGAACGCUAGCUACAGGCUUAACACAUGCAAGUCGAGGGGAAACGACAUUGAAGCUUGCUUCGAUGGUCGUCGACCGGCGCACGGGUGAGUAACGCGUAUCCAACCUGCCUCUGACCAAGGGAUAACCCGUCGAAAGUCGGUCUAAUACCUUAUGCAGUCGUCGGAAGUCAUCUGAUGACGACGAAAGAUUUCAUCGGUGAGAGAUGGGGAUGCGUCUGAUUAGCUUGUUGGCGGGGUAACGGCCCACCAAGGCAACGAUCAGUAGGGGUUCUGAGAGGAAGGUCCCCCACAUUGGAACUGAGACACGGUCCAAACUCCUACGGGAGGCAGCAGUGAGGAAUAUUGGUCAAUGGGCGAGAGCCUGAACCAGCCAAGUAGCGUGCAGGAUGACGGCCCUAUGGGUUGUAAACUGCUUUUAUGCGGGGAUAAAGUGAGGGACGUGUCCUUCAUUGCAGGUACCGCAUGAAUAAGGACCGGCUAAUUCCGUG